ACGUGGGAGGCGAGCGUUAUCCGGAUUUACUGGGUGUAAAGCGCGUGCAGGCGGUUCUGCAAGUGGGACGUGAAAGCGCCCGGCUCAACCGGGGGAGGACGUACCGAACUGCGGGACUAGAGGCAGGCAGAGGCGUGUGGAAUUCCGGGUGUAGUGGUGAAAUGCGUAGAGAUCCGAAGGAACACCAGUGGCGAAGGCGACGCGCUGGGCCUGACCUGACGCUAAGACGCGAGAGCAUGGGGAGCGAACGG
rnacentral:rRNA from 1 species